GGAUAGUGGCGACGGGUGAGUAACACGUGGGCAAUCUGCCCUUCACUCUGGGACAAGCCCUGGAAACGGGGUCUAAUACCGGAUACUGACCUGCCAAGGCAUCUUGGCGGGUCGAAAGCUCCGGCGGUGAAGGAUGAGCCCGCGGCCUAUCAGCUUGUUGGUGAGGUAAUGGCUCACCAAGGCGACGACGGGUAGCCGGCCUGAGAGGGCGACCGGCCACACUGGGACUGAGACACGGCCCAGACUCCUACGGGAGGCAGCAGUGGGGAAUAUUGCACAAUGGGCGAAAGCCUGAUGCAGCGACGCCGCGUGAGGGAUGACGGCCUUCGGGUUGUAAACCUCUUUCAGCAGGGAAGAAGCGAAAGUGACGGUACCUGCAGAAGAAGCGCCGGCUAACUACGUGCCAGCAGCCGCGGUAAUACGUAGGGCGCAAGCGUUGUCCGGAAUUAUUGGGCGUAAAGAGCUCGUAGGCGGCUUGUCACGUCGGUUGUGAAAGCCCGGGGCUUAACCCCGGGUCUGCAGUCGAUACGGGCAGGCUAGAGUUCGGUAGGGGAGAUCGGAAUUCCUGGUGUAGCGGUGAAAUGCGCAGAUAUCAGGAGGAACACCGGUGGCGAAGGCGGAUCUCUGGGCCGAUACUGACGCUGAGGAGCGAAAGCGUGGGGAGCGAACAGGAUUAGAUACCCUGGUAGUCCACGCCGUAAACGGUGGGCACUAGGUGUGGGCAACAUUCCACGUUGUCCGUGCCGCAGCUAACGCAUUAAGUGCCCCGCCUGGGGGAGUACGCCGCAUGCUAAACUCAAAAGGAUUGACGGGGCCCGCACAAGCGGCGGAGCAUGUGCUUAAUUCGACG
rnacentral:rRNA from 1 species